rnacentral:lncRNA from 1 species
CAGAGCUUUAGAGAGACAACAAUGAUCCAUUGUCACAUCACAGUUUCAAGGGCACAGCUAUGAAUCUAAACGGUUCGGAGUUUGACCAUAAAGCUCAUCCCAGUGUGUAGGGGAGGAUCUCACAUCCUUUAUAGCUCCCUAGUAUCUUUCCUAAGAGAGAUGUGGAAACGAGCAAGGGAUGUCCUUGGCAACCCAUCCCAGAACUGAAGAAUCUUCAUUUCCAAGAAGUCCUUCUCCACAGUCAACUGGAAUCUCUCGGUCUUUCUGUUCAAAGAUUUACAUAUCACCACCAAACGGCUCCAGAAUUUCUACAGCAGAAAAGGAGUGGUUGCUACAUAGAGGGGUAAAAGGAGAAGCAAGGACAUCAAUUGACAGUGAUUAUCACCUCAAAGUAACCUAAAUAGAGCAAAGCCAGCUCCCAGCGUAGUUCUGGAGAUCGUCAGGGCAAACAAUAACAAUAACAAAGACCCACUGGGGCAAAGAGAAGCCAGCAGCAUGGACCAGCUUUGCGCUGAAAUGGAAUUUGGCUCAGUUCUAGAGGAAAGAAAAAAAUCCAGGAGUGAAAAACGGAGCCUUGGGAGCCCACUGUGUAUCCUGGUAGUGUGAGCCCUGAUGGUUGCUUUUCUUUUUGUAAUGCAAGUACCUGACUUAAGCUUCGAUUGCAGAGGCAUCCACUUCAAAGAGGCAUCCACUUCAAAGAGGGCUAUCUUGAAUAAACACAUUGCCAGCCAUGUGACUAGAUAAAAA